GUGUGUUUAAAAAGUUCUUGGCAGAAUCUUUUCUCCCAAGUUACCAGAAUGACAACGUCGACGAUUUUUCUCAGUUUGUUUCUGACUUUCUUAUCCUUUGUCCAGUCGGAGGUUACUUUGACUCAGCCAGAGGCAGGGAACAGCCAACCUGGAGGCUCCCUGAGACUGACCUGUAAAACCAGCGGGUUCGACCUUGGCAGCUACACAAUGUAUUGGGUCCGGCAGGUUCCUGGACAGGGUCUGGAGUGGUUGGUUAGCUACUAUACUUCAUCAAGCAAUGACUAUGCGCCAGCGAUUAAAGAUCGAUUUAGUGCGUCCAAAGACACGUCAAACAACAUCUUCGCGUUGGAGAUGAAGAGCCUGAAGUUCGAAGACACCGCCAUCUACUACUGUGCAAGAGACCACAGAGUGAGGAUUGGAUACUGGGGACAAGGAACCAUGGUGACUGUGACUUCAGUGACACCGUCUUCCCCGAUACUUUAUGGUCUAGCCUCCUGUGAGCACCACAGCACUGACGGUUCUGUUAUUUUUGGGUGUUUGGCGAUGGACUAUUCUCCUGACACCACCAAAGUGACCUGGAAGAAAGGUGGGGAGCCAGUUCCGACUGGAGUUAUGACAUAUCCAUCGGUGAGAAACAAGAAGGGAACUUACACCCUGAGCAGUCAGUUAGUGCUCACUGAAACAGAGGCAGAAUGCGAAAAAAUUAUCUGUGAGGUUCGACACAGCGGAUCCGACACAAGCACUGGAAUGCCAUGUGGUAAUGCCCAUCCAACUAUUCUCGUAACUGUGAGUUCCAGUGAAGAAAUCGAGCACAGAAAAGUUGCAACCAUCGUCUGUUCAGUCUUUGACUUCAAUCCAAAGAAAAUCUCCGUGACUUGGUUGAAGAAUGGAGGGGAGGUAAAAUCUGGUAUCUUCACUUCUGCCGUGUGUGAAACAAAUGGAAACUUCUCAACGACCAGUCAGCUGAGAGUCCCUUAUAGUGAAUGGUUCAACAGAGCAGUCUAUACAUGUCAGGUCGAUCAUGAAGGGCUUAUUCAACGUCUAAACAUCACUGGACCACAGGUUUCAGAGUGCCAUGAUUACACAGCUAAAAUACUACCGCCACCAGUCGAACAGGUCUUACUGGAGGCGACGGUGACGUUAACCUGCAUUGUGUACAACCUUCAUUUUGAAGCCAACUUCACCUGGAGGCACGACAAGAAGACUCUGAAAUCAGAGAUUGUUGACCAGUCCGGAGAGCAGUCGGAAGGAGUGAUCAGCAAGUUAGAUAUUUCGACUGAAGCCUGGCUGAGUGGGGAUACAUUUGAAUGCGUGGUGAACAAUCAGUAUCUACCAACUCCACUGAGGCACUCUAUCCACAAGGAGAAAUUGAUAAAUCCGUUGGAGCCAUCGGUUUCUGUCCUCCUGCCAACGACAGAAGACGUCUCCGCACAGAAGUUUGUUUCGCUCACCUGUUUAGUGAGAGGUUUCAGGCCCCGAGAGAUCUUUGUCAAGUGGACAACCAACGACAAGCCAGUUAAUCCCACUAACUAUAAGAACACCGAGGUGACGGCAGAGAGCGAUAACACCUCCUUCUUCUUGUACAGCCUAUUAUCCAUUGCUGCGGAGGAGUGGGCCAGCGGUGCUUCUUACUCCUGUGUGGUGGGACAUGAAGCGAUUCCAUUGAAGAUCAUCAACAGAACAGUUGAUAAAUCCAGCGAUUCGAUAGAUCAUAAUUGGAUUGAAGAUUUUGAGGAUGAUAACGGCAACAUCUGGGCAACAGCUUCUGCAUUCAUCACCUUGUUCUUCCUGAGCAUUUUCUAUAGUGCUGCUGUCACGCUGGUGAAGGUCAAGUGAAUGAAUUUUCCACGUCAUAGAACUUCGUGGAAGAAAUUUUAUGUGUGUCGAGGCCACUGAGAUCCAAAUAUACCAUCUGUCCUUUUGUUGACACUAGCAGUGAGAUCAAUUCAGUUUGAGAGUGUGUAACUCAGAAACUAUUCAAUGAGUUUUCCAAAUUACCUUGUUUGAUAUCGUCAAGAUAAUUAUUGUUGCAAAAUUUUGUUGCUUCCCAAUUGUUUGAAGACAAUUUGUGCUCUUGUUCUUGUUAUUCCUAAUUCAGAAUUGUUCCCUGUCCUUUUCGUUGAACCCAUUUCUUUUUUUUCCCCCUCUGGUUACUGUUACCGAUGAGCGUAAAAUUCAGAGCUCAGAGCUCAUGCAUUAUCAUCUCCAUGUGGCAUCGAGUCGUUAUGUUCAUUUUUGGUGAUUUUGACAUGAACUUUUCGGUACAAAAGCUGUCUGAAACGGUAAAUAAACCUUCAAUGAAU